GACGAACGCUGGCGGCGUGCUUAACACAUGCAAGUCGAACGGAAAGGCCCUGCUUUUGUGGGGUGCUCGAGUGGCGAACGGGUGAGUAACACGUGAGUAACCUGCCCUUGACUUUGGGAUAACUUCAGGAAACUGGGGCUAAUACCGGAUAGGAGCUCCUGCUGCAUGGUGGGGGUUGGAAAGUUUCGGCGGUUGGGGAUGGACUCGCGGCUUAUCAGCUUGUUGGUGGGGUAGUGGCUUACCAAGGCUUUGACGGGUAGCCGGCCUGAGAGGGUGACCGGCCACAUUGGGACUGAGAGACGGACCAGACUGCUACGGGAGGCAGCAGGGGGGAGUAUUGCACAAUGGGCGGAAGCCUGAUGCAGCAACGCCGCGUGCGGGAUGACGGCCUUCGGGGUGUAAACCGCUUUCGCCUGUGACGAAGAGUGAGUGACGGUAAUGGGUAAAGAAGCAACGGCUAACUACGUG
rnacentral:rRNA from 1 species